CGGGGUGAGUAAUGUCUGGGAAACUGCCUGAUGGAGGGAGAUAACUACUGGAAACGGUAGCUAAUACCGCAUAACGUCGCAAGACCAAAGAGGGGGACCUUCGGGCCUCUUGCCAUCGGAUGUGCCCAGAUGGGAUUAGCUAGUAGGUGGGGUAACGGCUCACCUAGGCGACGAUCCCUAGCUGGUCUGAGAGGAUGACCAGCCACACUGGAACUGAGACACGGUCCAG
rnacentral:rRNA from 1 species